rnacentral:misc_RNA from 1 species
GAUGAAGAACGUAGCGAAAUGCGAUAACUAAUGUGAAUUGCAGAAUUCAGUGAAUCAUCGAGUCUUUGAACGCACAUUGCGCCCCCUGGUAUUCCGGGGGGCAUGCCUGUCCGAGCGUCAUUGCUGCCCUCAAGCACGGCUUGUGUGUUGGGCUCCGUCCCCCCGGGGACGGGCCCGAAAGGCAGCGGCGGCACCGAGUCCGGUCCUCGAGCGUAUGGGGCUUUGUCACCCGCUCUGUAGGCCCGGCCGGCGCCAGCCGACAACCCAUCAUCCUUUUCAGGAUGACCGCGGAUCAGGUAGGGAUACCCGCUGAACUUAAGCAUAUCAAUAAGCGGAGGA